GUACACUCCUGCGGGAGGCAGCAGUGGGGAAUUUUGGACAAUGGGCGAAAGCCUGAUCCAGCCAUGCCGCGUGCAGGAUGAAGGCCUUCGGGUUGUAAACUGCUUUUGUACGGAACGAAACGGCCUUUUCUAAUAAAGAGGGCUAAUGACGGUACCGUAAGAAUAAGCACCGGCUAACUACGUGCCAGCAGCCGCGGUAAUACGUAGGGUGCAAGCGUUAAUCGGAAUUACUGGGCGUAAAGCGUGCGCAGGCGGGUAUGUAAGACAGUUGUGAAAUCCCCGGGCUCAACCUGGGAACUGCAUCUGUGACUGCAUAGCUAGAGUACGGUAGAGGGGGAUGGAAUUCCGCGUGUAGCAGUGAAAUGCGUAGAUAUGCGGAGGAACACCGAUGGCGAAGGCAAUCCCCUGGACCUGUACUGACGCUCAUGCACGAAAGCGUGGGGAGCAAACAGGAUUAGAAACCCGAGUAGUCCC
rnacentral:rRNA from 1 species